UAAAUAGUUGCAGGAGAGAGCAGUUUUUUCUGCCACCGAAGGCGCAAUUCACCCAGAAUCGCUCAGGUAAAUGCACGGCAAACUAUUU
rfam:Pelistega indica strain HM-7 Contig19, whole genome shotgun sequence.